GAAGCGAUUAUUUUGUUAGCUCGUAUGCUUGUGGUUUAGCGUUGAUGUCAAUGUCGACAAAAAGUAGUCAUUCCCCGUAUGCGACGGCGAACUAGACUAGUUUGCCGUGGCUGGUUGGUACCUUCGAAGCUGAAUGGUAGCUAUUCAAUUGACGUCUCAUCUGGCCCUCCUGCCCAGUCUCGUGACCAUCAGCUGACGUGCGGGUAAAUGCUUGAAGGGUGCGGAAGGCUUUUCCUCGUCACGUUCAUCCAUCAGUCACCCGUUCUUCUGGAAGGGAUGAGUGGUAGGAACCGUCUUGACGAAAUUUGAGUUGUCAACUGAACUACACUACUUCCCAGCGAUGUCCGGAUGCUGAUCAUCGUACACGAGAUACGCAAGCGAGCGCAGUGGUCUCGAAUCUAUGUGAUGUUUGUCGCACCGUCAAAACCAAUCUCGGCUGAGGUGUAGAAAAGGGAAAGGGUCACAAUUGAUGGGCGCUAGUUCAUCCAUGACCUUCAUUGGUUUCCUAACCAUAACAAGCUCUGCCGCACCUUCUUGUAUGAAGCGCUGGAUGUACAAAAUCGUACGCUUGGGCCAAGGGCACGGUCCGAAGCAUCUUGAUUGAGGCGUACAGUAGCUUCCUGCGUGACGAAUGCGGCUUCGGUUUUGAAGUUUAAUACUGGCUAAGUCGGCGAUAUCCAGCUGGUCAGGGAUUUGUGUUGGAUGCCUUGGUCGUUGGCUUCCGCCCUAACGGCGGCUGCUGGGCUUCUGGUUUCUGAGAGAGUUCUGGAACCCGAGUCGGCGUCGAGCUUUCUGCCUGCCGUGCCAUCUCUCUCGAUGAGUGGGCAAGUGGGCGGCUGCUUGACCCUGCCGACCUGUCAACUCUGCGUAAGACAUGUUGCUUUUUCUGCUCCAAGAAUUUGGAGGUGGCGUCUCGCUUAGGCUCUCGCCGAUGUCGUCUGUAAUGACAACCCGGACGCUUUGCGCCCUGUUUGGCAUUUCGGACCACGACGGGACACGCGAAUUCGAACGCGAAGAAACGAGACGAUCAGAUAUUGACAGUAAUGUUUGGGCUUGGAAGUUUGCUUUCUUUGCUCGAUAUAUGGAGUGUAUGGCACGUCGGCCGAAGGAGUGGGCACUGUACUUUGAGAUGUGAUGCGGUAGGUGUGACGACGGGCAGUUGCGGUCGCUGAGGGUGUGGAUGGAAGUUGGUGUAUCAUUGAUGGCUCAACUUGAUAGGUAUCAAGAGGCCCAAAGAAAUCGAAAAGAAGAACGAGGAGGAUUUCAACGACUUAGUCAGAUUCCUUGGU